UUCCACCCCCGUGACCCCCUGGCGUCCCCCUCCCACCACCGCAGCCCAACUGCUACGCCAAGGUGAUCACCAUCGAGGCGCAGAAGAAGAUCGUCAUCUACUCGAAGCAGCCCAUCGGGGUCAACGAGGAGAUCACCUACGACUACAAGUUCCCCAUCGAGGACACCAAAAUCCCCUGCCUGUGCCGCACCGAGAGCUGCCGCGGCACGCUCAACUAGGCCACCGCCUGGUGGGCCCGGUGGUGGGCCUUCUGGUGGGCCUUCUGGUGGGCGAGGAGGCAGCGGCGUUGGGGAGAAGUCAACGCGGUUGGCAAGAGGUCAACGUGGUUGGCAAGAGGUCGUCGUGGUCAUCACCGUGGUCAUCACCGUGGUUGGCAAGAGGUCAUCGUUGUUGGUGUUGGGUCAUUGUGGUUGGCAAGAAGUCAUCAUGGUCAUCACCAUGGUUGGAAGAGAGGUCAACGAUGUUGGUGAGAAGUCAUCGUGGUUGGUGUUGGGUCAUCGUGGUUGGUGAGAGGUCGUCAUGGUCAUUGCCAUGGUCAUCACCAUGGUUGGAAGAGGUCAAUGAUGUUGGUGAGAAGUCAAAGCGGUUGGCAAGAGGUCAUCGGCGUUGGUGGUGCGUCAUUGGUGUUGGGAAGAGGUCAUCAAUGUGGUUGGCAUGA
rnacentral:lncRNA from 1 species